rnacentral:rRNA from 1 species
AGUCUAGCAUGUGCGCGAGUCAUUGGGACUCAAUAAACCUAAAGGCACAAUGAAAGUGAAAGUCUGUUUACGCGGACUUAGGGAGGAUAGGUGAGUUACACAUUGUGUAAAAUCUCGCACUCCCGGGGCGUCUCGCACUCAUUGCGAGGUGGGGCGCACCAAGAGCGUACACGCUGGGACCCGAAAGAUGGUGAACUAUGCCUGGUCAGGACGAAGUCAGGGGAAACCCUGAUGGAGGUCCGUAGCGAUUCUGACGUGCAAAUCGAUCGUCGGAACUGGGCUUAGGGGCGAAAGACUAAUCGAACCAUCUAGUAGCUGGUUCCCACCGAAGUUUCCCUCAGGAUAGCUGGCACUAGAUUAUGGAUGAGUCUCAUCCGGUAAAGCGAAUGAUUAGAGGCAUUGGGGUCGAAACGGCCUCAACCUAUUCUCAAACUUUAAAUGGGUGAGAUCUCCGGCUUGCUUGAUUUAUGAAGCCGGAGAUCGGAUCAAUUAGUGCCAAGUGGGCCACUUUUGGUAAGCAGAACUGGCGCUGUGGGAUGAACCAAACGGAGAGUUAAAGCGCCAAAAUCGACGCUUAUGGGAUACCAUGAAAGGCGUUGGUAACUUAAGACAGCAGGACGGUGGCCAUGGAAGUC